CCUCCUCAUCUCCUCCCUCCUCCUCAUCUCCUCCCUCCUCAUCUCCUCCCUCCUCCUCUCCUCUCCUCCUCAUCUCCUCUCCUCUCCUCCUCAUCUCCUCCCUCCUCCUCAUCUCCUCCCUCCUCCUCUCCUCUCUUCCCUCCUCCUCAUCUCCUCCUCUCCUCCCCUAGUUGUGUGUGUUUUGACGUUGCGUUCCUUGACUGUAUUGCAUACCUUUUGUAAAAGCCUUAGCGUACAACACAGACCCAGUUGGGUAUCACUCUGUUAUGACCUGCAAGUGCUGUGCCAGUAUUCAACCAUGGUAGAUAAACAACCGCUCUACCAAAUAUAUAUCAUUCAAUCAACAAUAAUAAUUGUUUUACUUAAAUUAACUUUAUUGAGACGCUGAACUGAGGUGUGGAAUAAUAACUUUAUUGAGACGCUGAACUGAGGUGUGGAAUAAUAACUUUAUUGAGACGCUGAACUGAGGUGUGGAAUAAUAACUUUAUUGAGACGCUGAACUGAGGUGUGGAAUAAUAACUUUAUUGAGACGCUGAACUGAGGUGUGGAAUAAUAACUUUAUUGAGACGCUGAACUGAGGUGUGGAAUAAUAACUUUAUUGGAAAUUUGGAUUUGCACUUGGGAUUAUUUAAAGAUGGAAGGAGUGAGGACAGGACUAGGAGGCCGUCUGUCUCUCUGUCUGACUAGGAGGCUGUCUGUCUCUCUGUCUGACUAGGAGGCUGUCUGUCUCUGUCUGACUAGGAGGCUGUCUGUCUCUCUGUCUGACUAGGAGGCCGUCUGUCUCUCUGUCUGACUAGGAGGCCGUCUGUCUCUCUGUCUGACUAGGAGGCCGUCUGUCUCUCUGUCUGACUAGGAGGCCGUCUGUCUCUCUGUCUGACUAGGAGGCCGUCUGUCUCUCUGUCUGACUAGGAGGCUGUCUGUCUCUCUGUCUGACUAGGAGGCUGUCUGUCUCUCUGUCUGACUAGGAGGCUGUCUGUCUCUCUGUCUGACUAGGAGGCUGUCUGUCUCUUGGGCUGUGGUGUGUGUGUGUUGUGCUCUGACAGGGUAGACAGGCUGGUAGUGUGGUGGUAUGAGGGGUGUCUCUGUGCUGAUCUAGCCCAGCAGAGGGCACUGUCACGUGAGAUGAGCUUAACUACCUGUCAGGGUAGCAUGGUGCUGCUAGCACAAGGCUAGUUGCUGUUGUUUCAGAGUCCCGCCACUCAGCCUGACUCAGGAAAGGGUUCCGAUUGGCUCUUAGCCCGACUCAGGAAAGGGGUUCGAUUGGCUCUUAGCCCGACUCAGGAAAGUGUUCUGAUUGGCUCUCAGCCUGACUCAGGAAAGGGUUCCGAUUGGCUCUUAGCCUGACUCAGGAAAGGGUUCCGAUUGGCUCUCAGCCUGACUCAGGAAAGGGUUCCGAUUGGCUCUCAGCCUGACUCAGGAAAGGGUUUCUGAAUCUGAUUUGGUUCUUCAAAGCUGUUCAGGGAAAACCAUGCUCUGGGUGCAAGUCUCCCCUUAACACAGAUCUAUGAUCGGCUCCUCCCUACAUCCUAACCUUAAACCAUUUGGGGAGAAGGGGCCAGUGUCUGGGCAGGGCCAGGUAAAUAAAGCCCUCUGAUCAGUUAUCACCGGGUGUUAUUGUGUGCCUGUCGGAGUGGAUGGUUAGACGAGAGACAAGCCGUCUGUCUGUUGAGACGUGACGCGGCACCCAAGUGUUAAUCUCCUCUGUUUGGUGUGUCUCCCCCUACCCCUCUCUGUGUCUCUCUCUCUCUCUCUCUCUCUCUCUCUCUCUCUCUCUCUCUGUCUCUGUCUCUCUCUCUGUCUCUGUCUCCCUCUCUGUCUCUCUGUCUCUGUCUCUCUGUCUCUGUCUCUCUCUCCCUCCCUCUCUCUCUCUCUCUGUCUCUCUCUCUCUCUCUCUCCUCUCUCUCUCUCUCUCUCUGUCCCUCUCUCUCUCUCUCUCUGUCCCUCUCUCUCUCUCUCUCUCUCUCUCUCUCCCUCUCUCUCUCCCUCCUCUCUCUCUCUCUGUCCCUCUCUCUCUCUCUGUCCCUCUCUCUCCCUCUCUCUCUCUCUCUCUGUCCCUCUCUCUCUCUGUCCCUCUCUCUCUCUGUCCCUCUCUCUCUCUGUCUCUCCCUCCCUCUCUCUCUCUGUCCCUCUCUCUCUCUGUCUCUCCCUCCCUCUCUCUCUCUCCCUCUCUGUCUCUGUUUAACUCAACCCAGUGUAGUAGUAUGGUAUGUUCUUCGUCAUCACUACUACUGUCUUGCCAAACCAAGGAAGAAGAGGAAGGAAAGGGACGAUGUUGUUGUCGCUGGAAAAGCUGGACAACGUUUAUAUGCUUGAAAUCCAUUUUUUAUGUAUUGUAAUGUACAAUCCCCCUGAUAGGUGCCGAGCCGCCAGACGUAUUAUUCUCCUAUCUGAGAGACGCCCUGCGUAUUACCAUGGUUCUCCUAUCUGAGAGACGCCCUGCGUAUUACCAUGGUUCUCCUAUCUGAGAGACGCCCUGC
ensembl:lncRNA